UGAAGAGUUUUAUGACCUCCGUAAAUUUCUACACCUUUAACUCCCCUAAUUUUGUAACCUUUCCCUCUAGAGUUUUACAUUCUCGCUCUCAAGGGUUUUCCACACAUUUCCAAACCCACAUUUUCGUUUUUCUUCAGAAUGCUCCAUCAAGCUCGAUUUGGAUUCAUCAAACCAGCGUUCAUCUUCUCAUCUCUGUCCAAGAAAGCUCCGUCUUCAAAUUGACGUUCUGAAAGCUCGUUCUGGAAGUUCAAUUUUGAUCCAUCAAACCGGCGUUCAUCUUCGUCCUCGCUCGUCCACCAGUGCUUGUCCUCUCCGUCAUCGAUCAGUGCUCGUUGGUCGUUGCUCGUCUCUCAGUGAUCGUCUCUUAGUGAGUGUGGGUUUGACCCUAAUUUUUUAACCCUCUUUGAUAUGCAGAGAGAUGUUUAGAGCAUUUUUUAACCCUAAUUUUUUAUAAAUUUUUUGCUAUCGGAGAAGUUAUUGUUGUCUUUUGGGUGUGCUUUGUUUUGGAAGAAAAAAAUCACUUCUACUUGAACAUUCAUCAGUUUAACAAUCAUCUUCUUACAUUGGAAUGACACAAGCUGAUAUAUUCAAUCGACAAUAUACUGGUUGGAAUACAAGUGCUCUGCAGGUUUUGGAAAAAUUGUUUCCCAAGGUAUUCAUCUUCACAACGCUUUUUGUUCAAUACAAAAAUCUCCCCUUUGUUCGUUGUAUUUAGAAAAUUGCUUUGAUAUGAUUGGAAGAUGAUUAUGAUAUUUAAUAAUGCUAAAUUUAGAACAGUGAAGUUUUGAAUUAUAACAAUUGGUAGCAAGUACUAUGUGACUACUCUUAUCCUUACUAAGACUCUGUUAACUUGCAUUCCUCUUCAAAAGGCUAGGGUAAAUACUAUUAAUUGUCCCUUUUUAAGAAUUUAUAAUCGUUAGUUUGAUUAACUUAUUAGCUCACUUGAUCAAAAGAAGUUUUAGCUAAUGUGCUUCUAAUGUUUAUAGAUUGAAUUCACUGCAUUGUCUUUAAAGGUUUAGUUUAACCCAAUUUGUAAUCUGUCUAUGAAAAUGUGUUAAAUGUGUUAACUCAAUUCACUGCAUUGAAUUCACUGCGUGUAUGUGGAAGGGUAUAUAGUGAUUUGUUAAAGUGUUUAUGGUCUCUGGAAUUGGUGUAAUAGAAUUUUACUUGAAUAAGUGCAUGAGCAGUUUGACUAAAAAAGGUUUGGUUUUACUCCAUGGCAUACCUAAAGGGUGUAAUGUUUCUUGUGAUAGUAUAUCUAAUAAGAGUGUUUUUCAGAAUAACUGGUAGGAAAAACUUGCAUUCAAAGCAUUUAUUUAAGUGUCUUUAUCGAUAUUUAUUAUUGGUUGAAUCAUUAAAGUUUAUUGUAAUGUAUUUAUCAGUACAAUUUUGAAGUAGCAAAACAUCCAAACUCAUAAUUUUGGACAUUGAUGUAUGCAAUCAUUGAUGGAAAAAGUUCAUGCUUUGAUAAUCAUGGACAUACACAUAGCUAUUUCAAAUGUAUAUUUAAAAGUUAAUUGAAUCACUUUGAAGUUGUAAGUUUGGUUUGUGAAUAAUAGUAAGAAUUGUUCCUGUAAUUUCUUAAGUGUGAAUAAGGUGUUGUCUCAUGUGCUGAUAUCUUGCCCAUUGCUUCUCGUAAUUCUGUUGUCUUGGUGAGUUUAUAAUAAUAGUCUAAAGAACAACACUAUUUUACACUAUUAUUCAACUAUGUUAUAGAUAUCAUGCUAACUCAAUAUCUAUUUGUUAUGUGAUUUGUAUGGUGCAACUUGGAGGGCCAUUUUGGAAAGUGAAGGUUGGGAAAAGGAUUCUAGAACAACAAAUUUCACUACUACCAACACUGGUGUUAUUCCACCUUCUACUUUCUACUAAAGACACGGUUGCCUUAUCUAGUAUUUUUUUCUUGCUCUAGUAUGUUAGUUUCUCCACCCUUCCUCUUCUGGAGAGACACAUUCUCCUAAUUCAAUUCAUUUCAGGAUGUGAUAUUUAUAAACAACUACAUGCAUUGAAGGUAAAAGUCUUUUUUCCUAUAACUUAAAAGUCAUGUCAUGUAAAUAAUGAUGCAAUUAAGCAUUAAGAAAGAGACAUGUAACCUACGGAGAAUCAUUCAUGAUCUUUCAAUGACCCAAUACUUUAUACUAUUCAUAUUUAAACUAUAUUUUUGCAUGUAUUUUAAUAGAGAAAAAACCACUACAGCUGCUACCAUAUUAUAUUAGAUAGUAGGAUGGUAUAUACUUUUAAACUCGUAUGUAAAGGUUUUACUGUUGAAAAGUUUAAAGUUUAAUAAGCUUUACUUAAGGAGAUGUUAUAAUAUAUUAAAAUUCCAAACAAUAUUCUGUUUAUAUCUUAUAGUAAUCUGGAAUAUGUUGGAUUAUCUUUUAGGAUUACUUUCAAUAUUUUCUAAUAUUUCAAGAUUUACUACUUUCUUUAAUUAUGAUUAUAUCUUUAAUUAUGAUUAUAUCUUAUAUAGCCAAGGGUUUACUGUUGGAAAGUUUAAAGUUUAAUAAGCUUUAAUUAUUUCAAAAUUUCUUUUUUAGGAUUGUAGAAGGCUUCCCGGUUUCUCCCCAUCUAAGAUCGUCAAGUGGGAUCCAUUGCUUCACUGGGUGGAGACAAAAUUUGGCUUUAAGCCUAUUGUCCAUUAUCUACGAAUUAUGUGCAUAGAUAAUAACUAUAAUGACUUUGGAGGAAAGAAACAAUAUUUGAGUGGGCACAGAGUGACUAAUUUAUUUGAAUCAUGUAGAUGCCUUGAUGAGUUGAGGUUGUACUAAAGAAUUAAUAUACUUAAGUUGAAAUUUCAUAGGCUUUAGAUUGUUACCAUCCCACAAGAGUUCUUUCUCCAAGUCUUUUAUCUAUAGGUCUCAUUCCUGUUAUUAGCUGUAGUAGAACCACCCCAAAGGAAUACACAUAUGUUUUAACUGACACUUUGCCAAAUUCUGCAUAUUUUGGUGUCAUCUCCACCCACUAUAGUUUUAAGAUACUGGAACCAACCACCUGGGGUUAAAAAGAGAUUGAGCAUUUAAUAUAUCUCCUUUAUUUUACUUUUCUUCAUUUGGCAAAGGGAUGAUUAUGCUCUUUCUAUUUUUGUUAAUAUUUGGUAUUAAGUAAGCUUCCGUUGCCAUUGAAUCAAUUUGACAGAUUCCUUUUACAUCUACUCAUAGUUAGGAUAAUUUCUUUUAAUGGUUUGAAGGGAAUCAGUUUUUCACAUCUAGUAAAUUUUGUAUUAGCAUAUUUUAGUAUGAAAUGUUGUUCCAUGCAGGUUAACAAUGCAGGAAUUGGUGGAGUUGUAAUUAAGACAGUAUUUAAUCAGUACAGUAAUCCUGAAUCGUGGGGUGGUACCAGAUGAGCAAGAAACAAAGACAGUGACUCAAACAUACGAGUUAGCUAAAGAAUGCUUGCAAAUAAAUUACUAUGGCACUAAAAUAACUGUAGAAUCACUCAUGCCCCUCCUCCAAUUAUCUGAUUCACCAACAAUUGUGAAUCUAUCGUCCUUUAUUGGGCAGUUAGAGGAGCUUGAAGAGGAUGUUUUUGAUAUUCUUGCCUUAUGGGCUACUCUAUUUUCUGAGACUCUAGAAAAUGAAAUUAAGAAAACUGCUGAAUUGUUGUCAAGGAUUUAGUAAGUACAUUUUAACAGUAUCCUGUAUCUUUGUUGUGAUCAAACUUUUAUAUAAUUAUCUUUACCUUUUUUUAUUAAUUGAA